CUCUCUCGGUGCACGUUUAUGCACGGCCAGGUCUGCGCUGACUCCUCUGAUUGAACCGGUCGCUCCUUCCUGUCGUCGCCUCACCUCAAUUUUCUGCGAGAGGCCUCGACGGGAGGAAGACAGUGAGCGGGUGCACGCAGGCCGCCCUGAAUAAUCCCCCGCCUAAACUGGCGAGAAGCAAGGCCGGAGCAGGAGAGCGGCGGCGGGUGAGCGCUCCGCGCGUCCGCUGGCGUUUUUGAGGUCACCUACGCCCCCGUGCAUGUUUAAUUGGCUAUGGGAUGCCGCGGCGUUUCUGCUGCCUGCGCUGUGAGUCAGACUCACGGUGCCUUUUUCUGGAGCACGGCUUUUCGGAGGCUCAGCAAUGGAGGCACUAUUUUAAGAACACAUUAGGAGCCCAGAAAACACUGACAUUUAGACUAUUGCUGGGGGAGGCUGGGAAAGGAACAGGGCUAGUCACCAGUGUAUAUGACAGCUAGACACCGAGUUACUGCCAGUGUGCACCGUGACGGGGGGGGGGCGCAGGAGGCCAGACCUGAGUCCAAUUACCCGUCUGUAAAUUAAAACUAUAACUACAUAUUAGUGCUGGGCGUUAAUCGCGUUAACGCAGACAAUGUGCGUUAACACAGUUUGUUUUUAUUAAUAAUAUUUAAAUACACGUACAAAUGGUGGAGUUCAUGGAAACAAGUCUUUUGUAGCGACGGUGAAGCUGUAGCGUGUGGGAGAAGUAUAACCAAAAGCAAGACAAGCUAACAAAUGAUAGCUAAGUGAUUAGCUACACACUGCAGGCCGAGUCAUAUCAUAUCCUAUUAGAGUUGUGGAAGAUGUCGGUCUGAGGAACGUUAAUAGAACCGCAAUGAAUGACGGCAUUUGUGAGCCUCCCUCAAGACGCACCAAACAGGGAGAAUACACGAGUUGUAUAAAAAGGAGAGGAGUUACAACAUGCACGAACUGUUGCUCUCUGUAGAUGUAGUAGUAGUAGUUAAAAAUACUCUGUCUGUCUUUCUGUCUGUCUGUCUAUCUGUCUGUCUGUCUGUCUGUCUGUCUGUCUGUCUGUCUGUCUGUCUAUAUGUAUAUAUAUGUAUAUAUAUAUGUACUAUACAAUAUACUACUUUUGAGUUCAUUUCUAAAUACUUCUCAUAUUAAUGCAAUUAAUUUUCAUUAUGUAUAUUGAUUAAGGAUCGAAUCCUACUACAUAUUAAAAGAAAGUAUCCAAUAAGGAGACAAUUACAUGACUUGAUUCCUGCUGCUGCUGCUAUUCUUUGCACAGGUGACUUGUAGCCUGUUGAGGUGCACUGUUAUCGUUCAACACUGGUGUCCUUUAUAGGUACACACUGACUUUGUGACCAGUGUGUAUUAGGCUAGUGGCCAAAUACAAUAGAAACCCAAAGCUGGGCUUCCUCUGGUCCUCACUCAGGCUACUGAGUUAAGACUACGUGUUACUAAAUGUUUUUUCUGCCUAUCUUGUGCCUUUUCCAGCUUUCUCCUGUUCCGUAAUAACAGCAGCCUCAUACUAUAAUUAAUUUACAGAUAAUAAGUAUAAUUUGGGCUUCAUUGCUGGGUAAUUGCAUGUGUUCGGUGGCUGUAAUACUUAUUGUAGUUGAUGCCAUAUGUCGUAGGUCUUGAGUUUUUAUUGUGAGCAAUAAUAUUUCUAUUUUUGGUUUUACCCUGAACACAUCAAUGAGUGGGCUGUGUCUAAACAAAUCAUUAUUAGAGGUGUGUGUUGCGAGCAUGAAAGAAACAUGUUCCAGUGCGUCUAUUCUCUUUUGUAGAGCAGAAAUAAUGUCUGCACUAAAAAUAACCUCGGCUCUACUGAUUAUUGCCCCAUUUUUUUCUGAAUUCCUUGAGAGUCAAACUUACCUUUCACUUAUAUUUGCUCUGUGUGUUGGUUUUGUUGUUGUGUAUGACUCUCCACUCAGUAAAGUACCCCCUCCACACACACACGCACGCACGCACGCACGCACGCACGCACGCACGCACACACACACGCACGCACACACACACACACACACACACACACACACACACACACACACACACACACACACACACACAGAAUCUCACUUGUUUGAAUUCAUUGCAUCAGACGUACAGAAUAUACAUCCAAGGCACGUGAGCUGCUGUCUGUCAUGAAGAGCCUCUAUUAAAGCAUUGCUAUAAAUAUACAUAAAUGAGAAUAAAAGCAUGAAAGGCUUAUCAUAAAUCUCAGACAAAAGAUAAUUAAUACUUACUUUCGGCAGAAUCACCUGCUUAAGCUUUUUGCUAGAAUAAAAUGGUGUUUGUUUUGCAUUAGAGCAGCGCAGUAACUCCACCAGUAGAGUUAACUGUUAAUGGGCAUCAGUGGGGACGAGGGUGGAAAACAACACAAUUUGUCGGUUUGGAGUGAAAAGCCACAUCUGUAGAAAGCUAAAGGAAGCUACCUAGCAACAGAGGUGCGAAGGAUGCGCCUGCGAGACGGAGACGAGACAAAGACGAGCGGGAGGGCACCGCGGCGGGCCAGACUGGUGUCUCCCAGGGGCCCGAUCUCCCUUUUUGUCGUGAUUGCUAAUGAGGCACAGCUGCCUUAUAGUGGGCCCAGCAGGCAGGGCCUUGAUUGCUGCCACUUACUUCAGCCGGCAAAAACGUGGCAAAGACGACUAGAUUGCAAAGCAAGAGCAAAGACGAGGGACUUUCGGUAAUGAAGAGAUCCCAAUCUGGGUUGUUAUGAUUCCGAGCGGUAUUCUCAGCUCAGGCUCGACGCGGUGCGCGAGUAGCCCUGGCACGCGCGCGGUGUUUUGGUUGGCAGGGACCGCGGCGGGCUUUCCUUGGGAGGAAACGUGGAACGUGGCGAGAACGACUUCUUCUGUUCGAAAGGGUUAGAUUGGACGUUUCCUUGCAGAGGCAUUUUGUGUUGGUGACCUCUCACCUGCAAAUCGCCCACUUGGCUUUAAUUGAACCUGGUGUGACUCUUGGUGUGACUCUGCAGGAUCUGACUCACAGGCCGAGUUGCCAGCCGCGCUCCACCUUACUCAUUACAAACAUAUUACUUCUUACCAACGCACAGUUUGUCAGCGUGAGUCAACACGGCUCAGAUCACACGGGGGCCAACAGAAAAACAAUGACCGCGCGCAAACUGGGCACGGGCCUGAUUGUUUUUGUUUAUUUGUUUUCUCCCUGGCCCCGCCCCCUCACAGCUGUCACGCCGGCUCCCCGUGGGUGGCGGUCUACCUCCGUAUAUUUGGAUUCUCAGGCUGUUGCUGUUUGGAUAUGAAUCAUGAAUCCUUCUCUCGUUCCCUCCAGGAGGUGCUGGGCGCCAGUUGCUAUGGCUACGCUACAUGGUGGCUCAGAGAGACACCUUUGAGAUGAAUUUGACUCGUUCCCCCGGUCGGUCUUUUCUCCUCUCCGGCUGGCCUGUAGCCUCUCUCACUCCUCAGCACCCGGAGCGAAUAAACCGUGUGUUCAGUUGGGGACGUCUGUAAACAAUGAGGGUUCGAGUGGCACUCUGAGUUGGCUCUUCCUGAAUGGACUCCGUCGGACCCAGACGCCUCGAGCCCUCAACGAACAGGACAACACAUUUGUCAGCUAACUGCAACAACUCAUCUAAAUUUAAAAUGUAAUUUGAGACGCAUUCAGAUGCAUAAGGUGCAAUGCAGCUCCUAAUGUUAACAAUUUACCAACACACUCCCCGCGUGAGCGCCGGUCACCUGGCUGGGCGCGUGUUUCAUUUUGCACAUCCAUACGUCCAUAUUCUGUCUGUGUUUUGAUGAAUUGCAGCCUUCUGUGUUGCACUCGCUUAACAUCCUAAGAUUUGGCGACGCUCGUGUGUUGACUGCUAUGUGCUGGAUCCAAGGACUCUUCAUUAUGUAUCUGCUGCCUCUUUUCAAAUCACUGAUGCAAGGAGUGCGCUCUCACAUGACAGACAGAACGAGCAGGAGAGAGACGGGGGGAGCAAUAUGUGUGUGUUGUGUGGAGGAAUUGAGAUCCUUGUACUGUUACAUUCAAACAAAGGUUUCCAUGGCAACUACAUGCACCAUUUGUCCUCUUAUCAAAACUGAGGGAUGAAGUGCCUCAAUUACCCCUCAUUCUCAUGCACUCACACAUACACACUCUCGGCUCUCGGCGCUGGAAGGAUAUCGCUACCUUUGAUUGAGAAUCUCUUUGUACAAACGGUGCCGCUGUAUGUUGAGGGACGAUGCGAAGGAGCUGAUGUCUCGGCUGUUCGACUCCGAGGAGAGUCUCAAGGACGGAUGAGGGUGGCUGCUUAUUUGAAAACAAUGUUGCGGGAGAGGGGAAGUCAGAUCGGCAGUUUUCUCCCUCUCUCUCCCGAGAAAGAACAAAUGGGUUGCGAAACAUCAACCUCAUUGCCUUCAUCAGAUCAAAUUCCCCUCUGGGUAGCGACUUCAGAGCUGCAGCAGCUUUGUUAAACACACUUGGUCUUGACAAGCUGAUAAUGGUUCACUUGGAAGUUUAUUUAAAAUUGUUCUCCAGCUCCGAAGCAUCUCCUCUGUGGACAGUCAGCGCUGCAUGUGUGGGAGUGAGUGUCUUAUUUUGCUGUAGCACAACAAGUGUAAAAGGACAAAGGAUGAUGUAAACUUGCAAAAUGUAUGUGCUGUAAUUUAACAGUGGACUUUCUGCAGAUCUAUUACUUGUUUGUGUUUUAUUCACUCAGUUCUCCCCAAUAUUUUGAUUGUAAAGCAUCCACAGAUCACAUCCACCAUCUCCCAGCUAAUUAAAUUAAAAGCUUUACAACGUGA